AAGCUCAGCAUUCAGAUUUGCCCAAUGUCACUAUUAGGCCUCCAGACAUGCAGCUCACUAUAGCAACAGAGCCUACUGCAGAGGUGGGAAGUUCUCCAAUCCACCAGGAGGCUACAGCUCAGGUCUCAGGGCCAGGAAGUGAUGUAGAACCUUCUGCCACCCAGCAUGGUGGUGCACCUCUGCGUCCAGAGUCAUCAGAAGAUGCUGGACCUUUAGCAGGUCAACAGGAGACUUCAGUUCAAUCUCCAGAACCUGUUAAUAAUGAGAACCCCUCUCCAACCCAGCAGGAAGCUGCAGCUGAGCAUCCACAGACCCCUGAGGAGGCUGAGUCUUCUCCAGCCCAGCAAGAGGCCCAACCUCAGACUCCAGAUCCCCCUAAGGAGGUAGAACCUUCUCCAGUCCAGCAAGAGUUCCCAGCUGAGCCACCAGAGCCCCCUAAGGAGGUUGAACCAUCUGCAACCCAGCAGCAAGCCUCAGGUCAGCCUCCAAAGUCCACUGAAGAGGUCAGUCCUCCACCACAGCAGGAGAUACCAGCUCAGCCAUCAGAGCCACCUGAGAAGGUCAAACCAUCUCCAGUCCUACAGCAGACCCCAACUCAGCUUUUAGAGCCACCUAAAGAGGUAGAAUCCUCUCCAGUUCAGCAGGCAGGCCCUGCUCAGUCCUCAGAGGCCCCUGUGGUCAUAGAACCCUCUCGGACCCAGCAGAUGGCCCCAUCUUCACCUCCAGAGCUCCCUCAGGAAGUGGAACCAUCUCUUAACUCAGCAGGGGGUUCCAGCUCAGACUCCAGAGCCCCCUAUGGAGGCAGAACCUUCUCCAAUCCAGCAGGAGGCCACAGUUCAGACUCCAGAGCCCCCUAUGGAGGUAGAACCUUCAAGCCAGCAGCUGGUCCCAGCUCAGCAUCCAGAGUCACCUAAGGAGGUUGCAGCUCAACCUCCAGUGCAUGAGAUGACAAUUCCAAUAGCAGGCCAGGACCAAGCCCAGAUUCCAGUAUCACCCAGUGUCACAUUUCAACCUUUAGACCUGGGACUUACCGUCACUCCAAAAUCCACUAUGGAGGCUGAGUAUUCUACAACCCCAAGGAAGACUACAGCUCCUCCAAAACACCCUGAGGUGAUGCUUCCACCUCCUGACCAGGUUCAGGCUCAGCACACAAACCUAACAGGUCAUAGUUCAACCUUUGCACCUGGAACUUACCACAACUCCGCAACCAUGUUUUUUUCCUCCAACCAUGAAGAACUCAACUCAGCUUCCAGAGACACCUACAGAGGUUGCAGCUCAACCUCCAGCUCAUUAUGAGGUGACAAUUCCAACACCAGGUCAGGAUCAAGCUCAGCAUUCAACACUGUCCAGUGUCACAGUUCAGCCUUUGGGCCUGGGGCUUACCAUCACUCCAGAAUCCAUGACAGAGGUUGAACUUUCUCCAACCAUUCAGGAGACCCCAACUUAGCCUCCUAAGGAAGUUGUACCCCAACCUCCAGCAUAUCAAGGGGUAACAGUUCCAACACCAGGUCAGGAUCAAGCUCAGCAUCCAAUGUCACCCAGCGUUACAGCUCAACCUUUGGACCUGGGACUUACCAUCACUCCAGAACCCACUACAGAGGUUGAACAUUCUACACCCCUGAAGAAGAUUCCUCCCAAGCACCCUAAAGUGACACUUCCACAUCCAGACCAGGUUCAGACUCUCCAUUCGAACCUGACUCAAGUCACAGUUCAACCUUUGGAUCUGGAACUUACCUUAACUCCAGAAUCCACUAUGGAGGUUGAACCUUUUCCAACCAUGCAGAAGACCCCAACUCAGCCUCCAGAGCUACGUAAGGAGGUUGUAGCUCAACCUCCUGUGUAUUAUGAGACGUCCAUGCCAACACGAGGCCAGGAUCAAGCUCAGCAUCCAACAUCACCCAGAGUCACAGUUCAACCUUUGGAUCUGGGGCUUACCAUCACUCCAGAAUCCAUUACAAAGGUUGAACCGUCUACAGCCCUGAUGACUACAGCUCCUCCUCCAGAGCACCUUGAGGUGACACUUCCACCGCCAGACAAGGGUCAGGCUCAGCAUUCAAACCUGACUCAAGUCACAGUUCAACCUCUGGACCUGGAGCUUACCAUAACUAUAGAACCUACUAUAGAUGUUAAACCGUCUCCAACCACGGAGGAGACCUCAACUCAGUCUCCAGACCUGGGGCUUGCCAUCACUCCAGAACCCACUACAGAGAUUGGAUAUUCUACAGCCCUGGAGAAGACUAUAGCUCCACGUCCAGACCAGGUUCAGACUCAGCAUCGAAACCUGACUGAAGUCACAGGUCCACCUACUGAACUAGAACCUACUCAGGAUUCACUGGUGCAGUCUGAAAAUUACGCCCAAAAUAAGGCUUUAACUGCACCAGAGGAACAGAAGGCCUCCACAAGCACCAACAUAUGUGAUCUCUGUACCUGCGGAGAUGAGACGCUGUCGUGUAUCGAUCUCAGCCCAAAGCAGAGGCUCCGCUGAGUGCCUGUGCCAGAGCCCAACACCUACAAUGGCACCUUCACCAUCUUAAAUUUCCAAGGAAACUAUAUUUCUUACAUUGGUGAAGAUGUAUGGAAAGCAUACAGUUGGACUGAGAAACUGAAUCUUGGUUGCAAUUUACUGACAGAACUGAGCUUUGGAACCUUUCAGGCCUGGCACGGAAUGCAGUUUUUACACAAGUUGUCCGGAUUGAUGGCUUAUUUUAAAAAAUUUUCUUACUCACUUCAUUGGUUCUAAUAAUACAAGCUCCAUAAUUUUGGAAACUGAAUGACUCUGCAAUGUAGAAAGGCUAUACCUUGGCCCGGCGCGGUGGCUCACGCCUGUAAUCCCAGCACUUUGAGAGGCCGAGGCGGGCGGAUCACAGGAUGCCCGGGCAUUUGUAGAGAACACUGCCAAAGAAAAAAAGGCUCAGGAGUCCAGCCCCAAGGGAGCUGGAACAGCCUCACAUGGUGCAGGGGCCAAGAAGUUAGCCAAGAACUACUUCAUUUCCCACCCCCCAUCAAAUGAUGCCAAGGAGACUAACUCCGAAGAGGACUGAUGUAAAAUGCUUCUGCCCAGCAUGGGUGUUCACUGCACGAGAGCACUUGGCCAAGGGGGUGAGUGGGGCUGAAAAUCCUGCUCAGGCUCCAUGCUGAGCCACAUACAAAGUCUCCCCGAGACAUUGUGGGGCCCUUCUGGACAGACAUGGAGAGCUUCUGAAAGUCCCGCAUGCUUGGAAUUAUUUUCAAGACCCCAGGGUAGAAUGGAGGUUGCACUAUUCGGGCCGGCCACUCUCCUACUGGCUGACAGGAUGCUGCCCGAGAUGAAACAGGGUGUGUGUGCACCACGGAGUCAGUCCAAGACUCCUGUUCUCACUCAGGGAUUCUUCAUUUCUUCUUCCUAUUGCCUCCACUUCAUGUUAUUUUCUUCCCUUCCCAUUUACAAGUAAAACUGACCAGAGCCCCAGGAAUAAAUGGUUUUCUUGGCUUCCUCCUUGCUCCCAUCUGGACCCAGUCCCCUGGUUCCUGUUGGUCAUUUGCAAACCAAGAGGACCACAAUAAACAAAUCUCUAUUUUUUUUUUAAAUAUUAAAGCAUUC
ensembl:lncRNA LRRC37A11P leucine rich repeat containing 37 member A11, pseudogene